UGAGGAAUAUUGGUCAAUGGACGAGAGUCUGAACCAGCCAAGUAGCGUGCAGGAUGACGGCCCUAUGGGUUGUAAACUGCUUUUGUUUGGGAAUAAUCGACAUUACGUGUAAUGUUUUGCAUGUACCAUUCGAAUAAGGACCGGCUAAUUCCGUGCCAGCAGCCGCGGUAAUACGGAAGGUCCAGGCGUUAUCCGGAUUUAUUGGGUUUAAAGGGAGUGUAGGCUGUUUGUUAAGCGUGUUGUGAAAUGUAAGAGCUCAACUUUUAGAUUGCAGCGCGAACUGGCAGACUUGAGUGCGCACAACGUAGGCGGAAUUCAUGGUGUAGCGGUGAAAUGCUUAGAUAUCAUGACGAACUCCGAUUGCGAAGGCAGCUUACGGGAGCGCAACUGACGCUAAAGCUCGAAGGUGCGGGUAUCGAACAGG
rnacentral:rRNA from 1 species